GCGAGGCCGAAAGGCGUAGUCGAUGGGAAACAGGUUAAUAUUCCUGUACUUGGUGUUACUGCGAAGGGGGGACGGAGAAGGCUAUGUUAGCCGGGCGACGGUUGUCCCGGUUUAAGCAUGUAGGCUGGUUGUCCAGGCAAAUCCGGAUAAUCAAGGCUGAGGUGUGAUGACGAGGCACUACGGUGCUGAAGUAACAAAUGCCCUGCUUCCAGGAAAAGCCUCUAAGCAUCAGGUAACAUCAAAUCGUACCCCAAACCGACACAGGUGGUCAGGUAGAGAAUACCAAGGCGCUUGAGAGAACUCGGGUGAAGGAACUAGGCAAAAUGGUGCCGUAACUUCGGGAGAAGGCACGCUGGUGUGUAGGUGAAGCCCCUGCGGGUGGAGCUGAGACCAGUCGAAGAUACCAGCUGGCUGCAACUGUUUAUUAAAAACACAGCACUGUGCAAACACGAAAGUGGACGUAUACGGUGUGACGCCUGCCCGGUGCCGGAAGGUUAAUUGAUGGG
rnacentral:rRNA from 1 species